GAUGAAGAACGCAGCGAAAUGCGAUAAGUAGUGUGAAUUGCAGAAUUCAGUGAAUCAUCGAAUCUUUGAACGCACAUUGCGCCCCUUGGUAUUCCAUGGGGCAUGCCUGUUCGAGCGUCAUUUGUACCUUCAAGCUCUGCUUGGUGUUGGGUGUUUGUCUCGCCUCUGCGUGUAGACUCGCCUCAAAACAAUUGGCUGCCGGCGUAUUGAUUUCGGAGCGCAGUACAUCUCGCGCUUUGCACUCAUAACGACGACGUCCAAAAGUACAUUUUUACACUCUUGACCUCGGAUCAGGUAGGGAUACCCGCUGAACUUAAGCAUAUCAAUAAGCGGAGGA
rnacentral:misc_RNA from 1 species